CUGGGUUCCUCAAGGAUUUGGCUCCAGCAAUCAAUGCACAUCAUGCUGGCAGAAUUACCUUUAUUUCCGAUAGGCAGAAAGGCUUGUUGGAAGCUGUUCCUAAGGUUUUCCCUGGUGCAAGAGUUAGAUAUUGUUUCAGGCACUUAUACAAGAACUUCAAGAAAUACUACAAGGCACCAACCUUGCACAGCUCAUUGUGGAAUGCAUGCAAAGCAUACAAAGUAAAGCAUUUUCAGGAGCACUUUGACAGUAUAUGCAAAGAAAAUGCUGAUGCUGGUGAAUAUCUUAGGAAAGAAGAUCCAAGUACUUGGUCUAGGGCCUAUUUUGAUCCCCU